AUUGAACGCUGGCGGCAGGCCUAACACAUGCAAGUCGAACGAGUGGCGGACGGGUGAGUAAUGUCUGGGAAACUGCCUGAUGGAGGGGGAUAACUACUGGAAACGGUAGCUAAUACCGCAUACCAUCAGAUGUGCCCAGAUGGGAUUAGCUUGUUGGUGGGGUAACGGCUCACCAAGGCGACGAUCCCUAGCUGGUCUGAGAGGAUGACCAGCCAAACUGGAACGGAGAACCGGUCCAGACUCCUGGUGGAGGCAGCAGGGGGGAAUAUUGAAAAAUGGGGGCAAGCCGGAUGCAGCCAUGCGGCGUGUAUGAAGAGGGCCUUCGGGUUGUAAAGUACUUUCAGCGGGGAGGCUUGACCCGAAGAAGAAGCACCGGCUAACUCCGUGCCAGCAGCCGAGGUAAUAC
rnacentral:rRNA from 1 species